CGGCCCGGCGCCGCCCCGCUCCCCCUGGCCCCGCCGCGGCCUGGCCCAGCUCCGGGCAGCCCCGCUCCGGCCUCACGGUGCCGCGGAGUCGGGGACGGCCGGCUGGGGGCUGCGGGCCCCGUCCCCGCUCGGGGCCCCGUCCUCUUUCCGGGCUCCGUCCCCGCUCUUCGCUCAGCGCGGCGUAAAUGCGGCGCCGUCUCCCGCGCGGUGCGGGCAGCGGGCGGCAGGCCUGGGGCCUUGCGGCCACACGGCGUCUGCGCGCCGUUUCCCCGCGGGGCGAUGGGCUGCGGGGAGAAGCUCGAGAUUUCAGGCCCUGGAGGAGGCGUUCUGUGUGAGAUCCUUUGCAGGCUGCGAUCUCCAGAUCGUUCACCCCGCUGUUCCUUGAGCAGCCCGAAGUUUGUAGAUGAGGUUGUGGUGUGUGGAUGUGGAUUUGCACAAGUCCAGGUAGACCACAUCAGUUGCCCUCCCUUUCUCCACUGAUGCCAUCGCUCCAUCACAGAAGGACACCGAUUGGGUAAGGCACAAUGUUCCCUUGGUGAAGCUGUGCUGGCUGAGUGGAAUCACCUGUUCUUCUCACAUGAGCCUUAACAUGUCUUCCAGGAGGACCUGUUCCAUGAUCUUCCCAGGCACAGAGUCACUGGGGGCUUCUCCUGACAGCCAUGACUUUUCAGACAUGAUGGAGAGCGGCCUGACGACCACAUCAGUUCCUUCACAUUUUCCAGCUUCACAGACUUGUACCCAUUCAGCCUCAUCAGAAGGUCUCGAUCUUGCAUUUCUCUGACACUGGGAAGGAUUCCACCCCCUAAACCCCCACUUGAGGAUUUGGAUCCCCGCAUACCGUUCACCAGCUGAGGGAUGGAAGAAGGUUGCAACAGGGCAUUAAAAAAGGAUUUCACAAAUGAUAGGACCUGGAAUGCCACAGGACAAACCUUGUUUUCUGUUCAAGACUUCAUAAGCUGAUGCUUCUUGCCUAAACAGGUUGACAGAGACAUAUCCAGGGCUGUGCUUCUCAGCUGGGAAGCUGCUGAUGGGGAAGGGGAACCGUGCGCUUCUGGAGGAGCAAGGGGCAAAGCCAGGAAGGAUCUCAGAGUGCAAAUGAGCUGCUGUGUUGGAAGAAAAUGAGAUCUCAGAGCCAUGAAUCAGCCUAGGGCCCUCUCCACUGCUGGAAUAAUACAAAAGACUUCAGCUGAGGAAGACAGGAGGAUUCAAGUCUUGCUGUGGGCAAAUAUGACUCAAAGGGAAAGGCACGGUGUGGCUCCAUGGGUGGAGGAGGUGCUUCUCUCCAAGACAGGAGCAGAGAUUUUGUUUUCUUUGCGGUUUAUUUUCUUUGUGUUACUUCAAGCCGGAAUGAGUUGCCUCUUGUUUUUGUUGGAUUGAAAAUGAAAAGUUGUUCUGGGCCACCUGCCGGGCAACGCCACACAGGAACAAGCUGAAUCACCUGCAACGCUCAGAGCGCUCCUCUGGGCCAAAGGAAACCCAGUCCUUCAGUUUCAUGGGGCUUUCCACUGAAAGAUAUCCGUAGCAGCCACUUCUGUGUGUUGAGUGUGACCUGGGUCCGGCACAACAUGCCACAGCAACCAGUUCAGCUUCUCUCUGCUUGAGAUCCUGGUGCAAUUACUAGGAGAAAUUUGAUUUCAUCACAUAAUGAAAAAAAUUCAUUCUGUGCUUUUGCUUUUACUUUUCUAUAUUUGUCUUUUUACAGGAUUAGUUUAAUGGACUUAUUUAGCAGCAGAUUGGCCAUGUAGCAUUUCUCUACCUGUUUUCCUGCACAACAGCUCUGAUUUGUUGUUUAGCCCAGGCUUUGCUCCCAGCAAUCUUGGUCACAAAAGCGUCAGUGCUGAUAUAAACUCUGUAUUAACGAUUUCCUAAAAGAAUAUUAUCAGAAUGAUUUAAAACAGCUGGCAUCGUUUUUUUUUCCCCACAGGGAGUUAAAACACAUUUUAAUAAGGACCAGAAAUGACGUACACUAUUGUCCAUGCAAAAAGAUUCUACUGGGAUGACAUCAGGAUCCUCACGUGCAUCGCAGCUUUACUCUGAUCCAAUAGACAACACAUAUCUGCAGGAGAUCACCUUUCUCUUAACCACAGAAUAUUUUCCUUGGACACCCAAGCUACUUACUGGCUUUGGGUUGGUGUGUGCAUGUGUAAUGAUCUUUUUAAACACAAACAGUUUGAAAAGCUGUUCCAUUUUUCAUUUAUAGAAAUGAAUUUAUAUUUCAUAAGAAACUUAUGAACUUAUAUUUCAUAAGAAAGCACAGUGCUUUCUUAGGGGUGCAUGUGAUGAGAAGCAAACACUGAGAAAUGAGAUCUGUUAAAAAGAAAUUUAUCCAUUUGCAUUAAGUGAUAAAUGGUUUCCUAUUAAAUGUGGCCAGAGUGAACUUCUUAACCAGACAUAUCCCUUCUUCUAUUCAACAUCCACAUGAAUUGCAACAAUCAGAGAAAGUGUGAGGGCUGAAAGGCUCGGCCCACCCUCCUGCUCCAAGCUAAGGUGGGAUGCCCAAGGGCUUCUCCAGCCAUGCCCUGAAAGUCUGGAAGGUUAGAAAUCCCGCUCUACUACUUUGCCCCCCGUCCAGCAGCUCAGUGUCGUCUUUUUCACUUGUAUCCAACUGGAAACUCCCCCCUUUCUCAAGAGGGAUUAGUUUUCAAGG